rnacentral:rRNA from 1 species
UGGGAAACAGGUUAAUAUUCCUGUACUUGGUGUUACUGCGAAGGGGGGACGGAGAAGGCUAUGUUAGCCGGGCGACGGUUGUCCCGGUUUAAGCAUGUAGGCUGGUUGUCCAGGCAAAUCCGGAUAAUCAAGGCUGAGGUGUGAUGACGAGGCACUACGGUGCUGAAGUAACAAAUGCCCUGCUUCCAGGAAAAGCCUCUAAGCAUCAGGUAACAUUAAAUCGUACCCCAAACCGACACAGGUGGUCAGGUAGAGAAUACCAAGGCGCUUGAGAGAACUCGGGUGAAGGAACUAGGCAAAAUGGUGCCGUAACUUCGGGAGAAGGCACGCUGGUGUGUAGGUGA